rnacentral:tRNA from 2 species
GCCCGGUUAGCUCAAUUGGUUAGUAGCGUCGGACUUUUACGAUCACAUGUGAUCCGAAGGUUGCGAGUUCGAGUCUCGCAUCGGGCG